GAUCUCCAUGAUUACUAUU
rnacentral:snRNA from 1 species